rnacentral:rRNA from 1 species
GACGUAGGGCGCGAGCGUUGUCCGGAUUUAUUGGGCGUAAAGAGCUCGUAGGCGGCUUGUCGCGUCGACUGUGAAAUCCCGCGGCUCAACUGCGGGUCUGCAGCCGAUACGGGCAGGCUAGAGUUCGGUAGGGGAGACUGGAAUUCCUGGCGUAGCGGUGAAAUGCGCAGAUAUCAGGAGGAACACCGGUGGCGAAGGCGGGUCUCUGGGCCGAUACUGACGCUGAGGAGCGAAAGCCAGGGGAGCAAACGGG